rnacentral:tRNA from 1 species
GCCGACCUAGCUCAUCUGGUAGAGCAACGGUAUCGUAAACCGUAGGUACGGGGUUCGAGUCCCCGGGUUGGCU